GAUGAACGCUAGCGGCAGGCCUAACACAUGCAAGUCGAGGGGUAACAGAGGUGCUUGCACUUGCUGACGACCGGCGCACGGGUGCGGAACGCGUAUGGAACCUACCUUUAUCAGGGGAAUAGCCCAGAGAAAUUUGGAUUAAUGCCCCAUAGUACUGUUUGAUUGCAUGAUUAAAUAGUUAAAGAUUUAUCGGAUAAAGAUGGCCAUGCGUACCAUUAGUUAGUUGGUAAGGUAACGGCUUACCAAGGCAGCGAUGGUUAGGGGCCCUGAGAGGGGGAUCCCCCACACUGGUACUGAGACACGGACCAGACUCCUACGGGAGGCAGCAGUGAGGAAUAUUGGACAAUGGAGGAGACUCUGAUCCAGCCAUGCCGCGUGCAGGAUGACGGCCCUAUGGGUUGUAAACUGCUUUUAUACAGGAAGAAACCUUUCCACGUGUGGAAAGCUGACGGUACUGUAAGAAUAAGGACCGGCUAACUCCG
rnacentral:rRNA from 1 species